GAGGGAGGGGUGUUUCAAAUGGAACUGUGGCUGCAGAGCCAGGCAGUGGCUGCAGGCUGAGCAAGGGAACUCAGAACCAAGUGCGGGUGGCCUGAGACAUUUGGUGCCUUGUCUUCCCAUGGCCUCUGACCUUAAAGAGCCCCCAAUGUCCACCUUUCACCUCCAAGUAGAAACGUCAGCCUUGAAGUACACAGCAGUGGAUAAAGACCGUCCCUGGCCAGGUAGAUGGACGGACAGCCUGCUCAGGAAGUUAGCUUCCACACUGCUUCCAGGCGGAGGUCUUCCCUACUCGUCGUGGAGAGCUGCAGAAUCACGAGUUCGUGAGUUUUUUCCAGCUCUGAUGUCAAGGGAAGGGGAAAGAGCAUUUCCAAUUGAAAGCAGUGAGAGUCCCAGAUGGAGUUCCACACCUUCUGUAAGUGAAAUCGCUGGGAUCCUGGCCAGAUGUCUCACACAGGAAGCUAUCCAUCCACAUCAAUUUAGCUACUGUUCACCCACAGAAGCUCCUGUGGUGGGUUCCUCCCCAGUGUGGGGAGGGUGGAGGAAGAGGAGGGAGACACAGAAGAAUCACCUAGAGAACUAA
rnacentral:lncRNA from 1 species